rnacentral:rRNA from 1 species
UGAGGAAUAUUGGUCAAUGGGCGAGAGCCUGAACCAGCCAAGUAGCGUGCAGGAUGACGGCCCUAUGGGUUGUAAACUGCUUUUGUAUGGGGAUAAAGUCAAUCACGUGUGAUUGUUUGCAGGUACCAUACGAAUAAGGACCGGCUAAUUCCGUGCCAGCAGCCGCGGUAAUACGGAAGGUCCGGGCGUUAUCCGGAUUUAUUGGGUUUAAAGGGAGCGUAGGCCGGAGAUUAAGUGUGUUGUGAAAUGUAGACGCUCAACGUCUGACUUGCAGCGCAUACUGGUUUCCUUGAGUACGCACAACGUUGGCGGAAUUCGUCGUGUAGCGGUGAAAUGCUUAGAUAUGACGAAGAACUCCGAUUGCGAAGGCAGCUGACGGGAGCGCAACUGACGCUUAAGCUCGAAGGUGCGGGUAUCGAACAGGAUUAGAUACCCUGGUAGUCCGCACAGUAAACGAUGGAUGCCCGCUGUUGGUACCUGGUAUCAGCGGCUAAGCGAAAGCAUUAAGCAUCCCACCUGGGGAGUACGCCGGCGGU